AGAGUUUGAUCCUGGCUCAGAAUCAACGCUGGCGGCGUGCCUAACACAUGCAAGUCGAACGCGAAAGUCCCGCAAGGGAUCGGUAGAGUGGCAAACGGGUGAGUAACGCGUGGGUGACCUGCCUUCGAGCGGGGGAUAACGUUUCGAAAGGAACGCUAAUACCGCAUGAUAUCCGGCCUUUGAAUAGGUCGAGAUCAAAG
rnacentral:rRNA from 1 species